CCGGUCAGAGGCCACCAACAGCCCCCCAGGUUGCCGAGGGCCUGCUAACUGUGUUCCUGGGAGGUGGGCGAGUGACCUGAGGGGUUAACUUUGGGACUGUAGUGGUUUUCCCGGCCGAAAGGCCUCUGGCUGCUACAGGCUUGGUGAGGGGAGGGUCCAGCCUGCCAGACCCUGGCCGUCUGGCCGUCUGCCUCUGAAAAGUUGGGUUGGCCAGCAUCUAGGAGUUUAGCAGUGUGCUUUUGGGUGUUGUAGUUUGUGUCCGGCACCUUUCCCUUUUCACACAGCAUUUGGCUCUGUUUAUUUAGUCCUUGGUGCUCAGGACCCUCUUUAGGGUUAAGUUGGGAUCAUUUUCUUUGGGUCCAGGGGGACUUAUGCAAGAACUGGAAUCUUAGAAGGGAUGGAACCCAGGACCUUGUGCCUGCAAAGUGACAGUAAGUAACAUGGCAGAUUGUGUUUUCCAAAGAUGGAAAGUACUUUCUUGUAGCUCAGUAUGUUAUUCUGCAUUGUGACAUUGUUACUCUUUAAUCAAAAGUGUAGUCUUGAGCUCACUGGUAGAGUGUUUGCUUAGCAUGCUUGAGGCCUGGGACCUAUAUCAAUCCUCAGUGAGUACACACACACACACACACACACACACACACACACACGGAGCAUUUCUUGCUUGAAUCUGGGUGGGUCUUUAGUGUGUUUUGACCAUGGAAAUGUAGAAGUGAUGAUGUACCAGUUAUAGGUAUUGCUCUUACCUGGCCCGACAACAUCUGCUUCUUGCCAUUUGGAAGCCAACCAGCAUUUAAGAAAUUCAUUUACCCUGAGGUCACUAUUUUGUGAGUAACCCAAACUUAUAUGACGAAUCCCUGAAGGAUGACACAUUAAGGGGAGAGGUGAAGGAGGAAAACCUAGGAAGCAGACAUACAAGAAAGAAGUCUUGUGGGAAAUGGAUCCUCCAGCCCCAGCUGCCCUGUUUGUUGCUGUAUAAAUCACAUGAGCCACUCAGUGGUGCUCUUCCCAAUUUUUGAUCCAUAAAAUCAUGAGCAAAAUAAAAUGGUUUGUUGUAAACUUA